AUUGCCCUAGUAACGGCGAGUGAAGCGGCAACAGCUCAAAUUUGAAAUCUGGCCCUCGGGUCCGAGUUGUAAUUUGUAGAGGAUGCUUUUGGUGCGGUGCCUUCCGAGUUCCCUGGAACGGGACGCCAUAGAGGGUGAGAGCCCCGUCUGGUUGGAUACCAAUCCUCUGUAAAGCUCCUUCGACGAGUCGAGUAGUUUGGGAAUGCUGCUCAAAAUGGGAGGUAUAUGUCUUCUAAAGCUAAAUACCGGCCAGAGACCGAUAGCGCACAAGUAGAGUGAUCGAAAGAUGAAAAGCACUUUGAAAAGAGGGUUAAACAGUACGUGAAAUUGUUGAAAGGGAAGCGCUUGUGACCAGACUUGGGCCCGGUUAAUCAUCCAGCGUUCUCGCUGGUGCACUUGGCCGGCCCAGGCCAGCAUCAGUUCGGCGCGGGGGAUAAAGGCUUCGGGAAUGUGGCUCCUCCGGGAGUGUUAUAGCCCGUUGUGUAAUACCCUGCGCUGGACUGAGGUUCGCGCAUCUGCAAGGAUGCUGGCGUAAUGGUCAUCAGCGACCCGUCUUGAAACACGGACCAAGGAGUCGUCUUCGUAUGCGAGUGUUCGGGUGUUAAACCCCUACGCGUAAUGAAAGUGAACGCAGGUGAGAGCUUCGGCGCAUCAUCGACCGAUCCUGAUGUUCUCGGAUGGAUUUGAGUAAGAGCAUACGGGGCCGGACCCGAAAGAAGGUGAACUAUGCCUGUAUAGGGUGAAGCCAGAGGAAACUCUGGUGGAGGCUCGCAGCGGUUCUGACGUGCAAAUCGAUCGUCAAAUAUGGGCAUGGGGGCGAAAGACUAAUCGA
rnacentral:rRNA from 1 species